UACGUAGGGUGCGAGCGUUAAUCGGAAUUACUGGGCGUAAAGCGUGCGCAGGCGGUUUUGUAAGUCAGAUGUGAAAUCCCCCGGGCUCAACCUGGGAACUGCGUUUGAAACUACAAGGCUAGAGUGUGGCAGAGGGGGGUGGAAUUCCACGUGUAGCAGUGAAAUGCGUAGAGAUGUGGAGGAACACCGAUGGCGAAGGCAGCCCCCUGGGUUAACACUGACGCUCAUGCACGAAAGCGUGGGGAGCAACAGG
rnacentral:rRNA from 1 species